GAGGGGUCUGAAUGUUUUAUGAGGGGGUGGGCGGGGCCGCUUGCUGGGAGUGAUCGGGCCUUCUGCCGGGAGCACAGCAGCUGUGUCAACAUCAGCUUGGCCAGAGCUGAUCUCUUGGAAGCCUUGUCACAUUUGGAAUUGCUGCCCGUUCCUUAUCCUUUGUCCUCGGGAAAAUAAGGAACCCAGAGCGCUGCUGGCCCCGGGCUUGCUGCUGGGCGUGAUAUGAGACUACAGUCCUUUGCGGGAGGUCCAGGCGGCACUCGGAGAAACCUCUGGGGAAACCUUACCCUCGGGGCUGCCGUGGACCAUGAGCUUGGCUUUGCAAAAUGAC